rnacentral:rRNA from 1 species
UACGAAGGGGGCUAGCGUUGCUCGGAAUCACUGGGCUUAAAGGGCGCGUAGGCGGGCUGCCAAGUUUGGGGUGAAAUCCUCCGGCUCAACCCGGGAGGGUGCGCCGAAUACUGAGUGACUAGAGUGCGGGAGAGGAAAGUGGAAUUCCUGGUGUAGCGGUGAAAUGCGUAGAUAUCAGGAGGAACACCGGUGGUGUAGACGGCUUUCUGGACCGUAACUGACGCUGAGACACGAAAGCGUGGGUAGCAAACAGG